UGAGGAAUAUUGGUCAAUGGACGAGAGUCUGAACCAGCCAAGUAGCGUGAAGGAUGACUGCCCUAUGGGUUGUAAACUUCUUUUAUACGGGAAUAAAGUGAGGCACGUGUGCCUUUUUGUAUGUACCGUAUGAAUAAGG
rnacentral:rRNA from 1 species